UACGAAGGGGGCUAGCGUUGCUCGGAAUCACUGGGCGUAAAGCGCACGUAGGCGGAUUGUUAAGUCAGGGGUGAAAUCCUGGAGCUCAACUCCAGAACUGCCUUUGAUACUGGUGAGCUUGAGUCCGGAAGAGGUGAGUGGAACUGCGAGUGUAGAGGUGAAAUUCGUAGAUAUUCGCAAGAACACCAGUGGCGAAGGCGGCUCACUGGUCCGGUACUGACGCUGAGGUGCGAAAGCGUGGGGAGCAACAGG
rnacentral:rRNA from 1 species